GAGAGAAGAGAUGGGGUGAAGGGGAGGGAUGGAGGGAUAGAGAAAGAGGUAGAGAAGGAAAGAGAGAGGAAGAGAGAAGAGAUGGGGUGAAGGGGAGGGAUGGAGGGAUAGAGAAAGAGGUAGAGAAGGAAAGAGAGAGGAAGAGAGAAGAGAUGGGGUGAAGGGGAGGGAUGGAGGGAUAGAGAAAGAGGUAGAGAAGGAAAGAGAGAGGAAGAGAGAAGAGAUGGGGUGAAGGGGAGGGAUGGAGGGAUAGAGAAAGAGGUAGAGAAGGAAAGAGAGAGGAAGAGAGAAGAGAUGGGGUGAAGGGGAGGGAUGGAGGGAUAGAGAAAGAGGUAGAGAAGGAAAGAGAGAGGAAGAGAGAAGAGAUGGGGUGAAGGGGAGGGAUGGAGGGAUAGAGAAAGAGGUAGAGAAGGAAAGAGAGAGGAAGAGAGAAGAGAUGGGGUGAAGGGGAGGGAUGGAGGGAUAGAGAAAGAGGUAGAGAAGGAAAGAGAGAGGAAGAGAGAAGAGAUGGGGUGAAGGGGAGGGAUGGAGGGAUAGAGAAAGAGGUAGAGAAGGAAAGAGAGAGGAAGAGAGAAGAGAUGGGGUGAAGGGGAGGGAUGGAGGGAUAGAGAAAGAGGUGGAGAAGGAAAGAGAGAGGAAGAGAGAAGAGAUGGGGUGAAGGGGAGGGAUGGAGGGAUAGAGAAAGAGGUGGAGAAGGAAAGAGAGAGGAAGAGAGAAGAGAUGGGGUGAAGGGGAGGGAUGGAGGGAUAGAGAAAGAGGUGGAGAAGGAAAGAGAGAGGAAGAGAGAAGAGAUGGGGCGAAGGGGAGGGAUGGAGGGAUAGAGAAAGAGGUAGAGAAGGAAAGAGAGAAGAGAUGGGGUGAAGGGGAGGGAUGGAGGGAUAGAGAAAGAGGUAGAGAAGGAAAGAGAGAGGAAGAGAGAAGAGAUGGGGUGAAGGGGAGGGAUGGAGG